AUUGAACGCUGGCGGCAGGCCUAACACAUGCAAGUCGAGCGAGCGGCGGACGGGUGAGUAAUGUCUGGGAAACUGCCUGAUGGAGGGGGAUAACUACUGGAAACGGUAGCUUAUACCGCAUACCAUCAGAUGUGCCCAGAUGGGCUUAGCUAGUAGGUGGGGUAAUGGCUCCCCUAGGCGACGAUCCCUAGCUGGUCUGAGAGGAUGACCAGCCACACUGUAACGGAGACACGGUCCAGACGCCGACGGGAGGCAGCAGUGGGGAAUAUUGCAGAAUGGGCGCAAGCCUGAUGCAGCCAUGCCGCGUGUGUGAAGAAGGCCUUCGGGUGUUAGAGCACUUUCAGCGAGGAGGCGUUACUCGCAGAAGAAGCACCGGCUAACGCCGUGCCAGCAGCCGCGGUAAUAC
rnacentral:rRNA from 1 species